rnacentral:rRNA from 1 species
UACGAAGGGGGCGAGCGUUGUUCGGAAUUACUGGGCGUAAAGGGCGCGUAGGCGGCGAUCCGAGUCAGAUGUGAAAGUCCUGGGCUUAACCUGGGGACUGCAUUUGAUACUGGAUUGCUUGAAUGCAGGAGAGGAUAGCGGAAUUCCCAGUGUAGAGGUGAAAUUCGUAGAUAUUGGGAAGAACACCGGUGGCGAAGGCGGCGCUCUGGCUCAUUACUGACGCUCAGGCGCGACAGCGUGGGGAUCAAACAGG